rnacentral:rRNA from 1 species
GUGCCAGCCGCCGCGGUAAUACGGAGGGUGCAAGCGUUGUCCGGAAUCAUUGGGUGUAAAGGGUGUGUAGGCGGGACUGUAAGUCCGGGGUGAAAGCCCGCAGCUUAACUGCGGAACUGCCCUUGAUACUGCAGACCUUGAAUACUGGAGGGGCUGCUAGAAGUCGUGGUGUAGCGGUGAAAUGCGUAGAUAUCACGAGGAAUACCAAAGGCGUAGGCAGGCAGCUAGACAGUUAUUGACGCUGAGGCACGAAAGCGUGGGGAGCAAACAGGAUUAGAUACCCCGGUAGUCC